rnacentral:lncRNA from 1 species
CCCGAAUUCAAGUGAUUCUCCUGCCUCAGCCUCGGAGUAGCUGGGACUACAGGCGCCUGCCACCACGCCCGGCUAAUUGUUUUGUAUUUUUAGUAAGGCAGGGUUUCGCCAUGUUGGCUAGGCUGGUCUGGAACUCCUCACCUCAGGUGAUCUGUCUGCCUCAGCCUCCCAAAGUGCUGGGAUUACAGGCAUGAACCAGCGCACCCGGCCUUCAAUAUGAUUUUUUAAAUGGUCAAAAAUAAUGCAGAGGAAAGGAAAAAAAUCUAACUCUAAGCUAACCCUAACCCAAAACAAUUAACAAGUGUCUGUAGGUACUGAAUUGGUAAUACUCCAGUAAAACAUUUAGCUGCUGUCAGAAUACACCACCCUCCUUGGUUAUAAUCUGACCUAAACAGAAGGAAAAACAACUGACUGCAGAGGAAGAACUUAACAGACCUGGUUAAAAUUCUUAUUCUGCCACUUACAAGCUGGGUGAUUUUAGAAAAGAAAUUUAUCCUAACAUUCAAUUUUCUCAUCUCAAAAGUAGAGAUAACAUCUUCCUCACAGGGCUACUGUAGGGGAUAUCUGUUCUUCAAAAUUUACAGGUCAAAAGUAACAAGAGAAUGAGAAGCAGAUGGAAGUAUAGCUAAAACAAGAUUGGCCAUGACGUGAUGAUAACUGAAUCAAAAUGAUGGGUACAUCAUAGCUCAUUCUUCUAUUGCCUAUCUUUCUGUGUUUUUGAUUUCCAUUAAGAAUUAUAAAAAUACAGCCGGGCAUGGUGGCUCACGCCUGUAAUCCCAGCACUUUGGAAGGGAAAGGCAGGUGGAUCACUUGAGGUCAGGAGUUCAAGACCAGCCUGGCCAACAUGGUGAAACCCUGUCUCUAGUGAAAAAAAAAAAAAAA